GGAGAUUACUCACUAAUAGUCAUGAAAACAUUGAAACAAUGGUUUAAUUUAAGGCUAAUCAUGAUUAGAAGAAGAGAUAAUCAAAAUAACACAAGAUUAAAAUGUUUAAAAAUGAUAAAGAUUCAAGCUUUUACAAAAGUUGUUAAAAGAGAAAAGUAGAUCUGAAAACUUAGAUAUCCCCUGGGCUUUUUCCUUAACAAGUAUUUAUAGGUCCUUAAAAUAAAGGUCAAACGCAGAUUUACAAAACGCUGCGAUCAAGUCAAAAUCGCGUUUGGCGUUUAGCGUUUGGAAACCGCGUUUGGCGACUGCGUUUCUUCAUCUUCCUCGCAAAUCCUCCAUUGCUGCAACUGCUUGGGUCUUCACGAGUCUGUGACUGGAGCUUGCUUCAUUUCGUUUCGUGUGGCGACCACCAGAGCUCUGCCUUCUCGCCGAGACCACACCUCCCCCAUACCUGAGCUGCUGCGUCUCGUCUUCUUCGUCGGCCAAUUCGUGUGGUGACUACCGGAGCUCGUCUUCUCGUCGGAACAACUAAAACAAGCUCGUCUCCUCCCUUGCAAUCGUCCAAGCUCGAAAAUCAUCAGGUGGGAUCGAGGAGAAUGAAUCGACCAAGCCACAAUAUCACCAUCGUUCGCUUUGCUCUUCACGGCUGUGGGUUUCAGAUCAAGAGGGGUGAAGCGAGCAAGCUCGUCUUCAGGCAUCGAUCGAUUGGAACUCUUCGGGAGCAAGACAUAAAUGCAUCACGGCCGAGAGCAUCGGAUCGAGCAUAUCCCUUCUCCACAUCGAACGCUCUGAAGCUCGCAACACACACAUGGUGAACUUCUGCGAAAUUGCACAUUUGGUCCCUGCAUUUUGCCUCCUUUCUAGUUCGACCCCGUAACUUCUGUUUUGUGCAGAAAAGUCCUCGAAAUGACUCCAUAACUCUUGAUUGUGCAUUUUAACCCUUGUGUAUGCAAUAUGUACAAAUGCAACACCUAAUGACAUCUAAAUGCAACUCCUAAACACUAAAAAUGACCAUAAUCUAUAGCUAAAAACAUGUAAAUACACUACAUAUCAACUCCCCCAAACUUGCUUCUGUACUUGUCCACAAGUAAACUUUCAAGAAGAGUGAGAAAGAGAGGUUUGAAAAUGGAAAUUGCUAAGCAAAGAGACUCUUCAAAGCCUUCAACAUGACAUCCAUACAAAAUCAUAACAAAUAGCAAAGACAUGAUUCCUUAUUGAACUCUAGUUUCUCAAGGCCUACCUCAACUCCAAAUUUUGUUUCUCUACCCUCACCACUUAGAAUCCAUUACAAGCCAAUCAACCAAUCCUCGCAUUCAUUAAAAACAAGUCUCAAGGUGAAGUCUCGCAGAUGGGAACUUAGAUGGGAACUUGAUCCUGAUCAUUUGGUAAGGUGAAGAAAUGGUUGUAAGUAGUGAAGCAAAGGGUGAAGCAAAGGGUUCAGCGCUUUUUGGUGGGUGGUUCACUCUCAAACAUAGGAGCAAUGACAUUAUGCAAAAUCUAUCUAAGAAGGGGAACAAUUUAUGCAUACAACAGUCAGUCCUCAUUGUUCUACCCUUUUCCUCAUGUCAAUCUUUCUUUUUCUCAC
rnacentral:lncRNA from 1 species